CGCAAAACAACGGUUGGAUCACCUCCGCACUGCCCCCCUUCGUUUCCACGAAGCCUGCCUAAAUGACGAAUGUGCCUUCUACACAUCUCGCCUUGCCUCCCUGGCUCAGCCCUCGGCACAUCGGUGCCAAGAGCCGGUGGCAAAAAUGCUGAACGCUCACGAUACCAUGCACUUUACACCCAUCUUGGCAUCUGCACCUAUUUCCCCACUUUCAGAGGAAGAAAGGACUCUACUUUCCUGAAAAAAGGAGCCAUGCCUUUGUUUUGGGGUUGGCCGAUGGGAGACAAGGGCCUUGGCAAUAGUUGAAAGGGAAGGAGGAAAAGCUGCAAAAGCCAUUGUGACAAGCAACUACAAAAUGAUCCUGCAUUUUCCAGGAUACGCUAACAUUAAUUGUAAACUGUUUUUUUAAAAAAUAAAAUAAAACUGUAAAA